CCUUCCUCUAGUGUGGUCUGCAGGCUGCCCUCUGAACUGCCUGUCGCCAGGGAGGAGUCACUGUGGGACGGGUGCUGGACAGAGAGGAGACAACCAGAUUUUUCCUUGUGAAAUUUACUCACAUUUUACGGCAAAAAGCAGCUGAGACAGGAAGUAGCAUGGUUUGUUUCAUGCAGAAGCCAACAGAAGGGAGGUGUUUGAUUAAAUGACAAAUGAGAUCCUAGCUUCAAGUAUAUUUUCUCACACUCGGACAUCAAUGAAGGGUGACACACAUGAACCAAUUCAUCUGUCCAUGAUACCUGAGAGCUCAGGGGCCUGCUGUUGGCUCCGGGUGAGCGGAG